ACCACAACUAUGCUUGCAUGCAAUAUUUCCACUCUAAAGAAAGCACACUUCAAAGUUAAAUUUCAAAACUUUUGUUGAAGCAUAGAUAAAGGAAUUUUGUGCUGCAAUUCUACACUUCAAGACAUGAAGUUGUCUGACAUUAGGGAGGUCUGGUGGUCGUAUACCUCUUCCAGUUCUACAAUGGCUUGUUUCUCCUCAAACUCUACACAACUACUGACUGUCCACACUGGCAGGUGCUAGUGUUGGGAGUACUGUUCAUUGUGGUUGCUUCUUUGAACGGAUCAACUCUCUCCAAUGUCAUCUACGGGAAAUCCAAAAAGGUCAUGAAAAAAAGACUGUCUGAGAGUUUCAAGUCAUUUUGAAUUUUAUAGGACUGGUAAAUGUACGUAUAGUGAAUAAAAACGAUUCGAUAACUUUUUUUGUGUGAUAAACAUAAUAUCACAUGUCAAGUAAGCAAUAACAUAGAUUAGUCACGUAACAUGCAUGACCCUAUGUAUUGUUUUUGACCGGCUUGUAUGUGAUCUACAUGUACUUCAUACUGCUGCAACCUGACUGUUAAAUGCCGAGGGU